rnacentral:lncRNA from 1 species
GUCUACUCGAUGCAAAGAAGGCUUGACAACAUGUUUCCUUUGAUGAUUUUGGCAACCCAUGAUAGCUGAUACUUUCUUAAUGAAUAAUAUCUAAUAUCUUUUUUUUUCCCCCUCGAGCUAGCGAGUUGGUAACGUGGAUGAUAAUUAACAAUCCCCGAUCCAGAACAACCAAUACCUCUAAAACCUUAGGAGUGUUUGUUCGUACUUCUGCCAAAUAUGAUUAGAGGUGCCAUUUCAGUAUAUUAAAAUAUCUAGUUCUAAUAUUAUCUAAGUAGAUUUUCAUAUUGGAC